UUGAACGCUGGCGGCAUGCUUUACACAUGCAAGUCGAACGGCAGCGCGGGCUUCGGCCUGGCGGCGAGUGGCGAACGGGUGAGUAAUACAUCGGAACGUGCCCAGUAGUGGGGGAUAGCUCGGCGAAAGCCGGAUUAAUACCUCAUACGACCUGAGGGUGAAAGCGGGGGAUCUUCGGACCUCGCGCUAUUGGAGCGGCCGAUGGCAGAUUAGCUAGUUGGUGGGGUAAAGGCCUACCAAGGCGACGAUCUGUAGCUGGUCGGAGAGGACGACCAGCCGCCCUGGAACUGGGACACGGCCCAGACUCCUGCGGGAGGCAGCAGUGGGGAAUUUUGGACAAUGGGCGGAAGCCUGAUCCAGCAAUGCCGCGUGUGUGAUGAAGGCCUUCGGGUUGUAAAGCACUUUUGGCGGGAACGAAAAGGACUGUGCCAAUACCACGGUUCGAUGACGGUACCCGCAGAAUAAGCACCGGCUAACUACGUG
rnacentral:rRNA from 1 species